UCAGGAGGUCUAGAGGGAGUCAUAUUUCCACUAAUCAGGAGGUCUUGGAGGAGUCAUAGUUCCACUAAUCAGGAGGUCUAGAAGGAGUCAUAGUUCCACUAAUCAGGAGGUCUAGGAGGAGUCAUAGUUCCACUAAUCAGGAGGUCUAGGAGGAGUCAUAGUUCCACUAAUCAGGAGGUCUAGAAGGAGUCAUAGUUCCACUAAUCAGGAGGUCUAGAAGGAGUCAUAGUUCCACUAAUCAGGAGGUGUAGAAGGAGUCAUAGUUCCACUAAUCAGGAGGUCUAGAAGGAGUCAUAGUUCCACUAAUCAGGAGGUCUAGAAGGAGUCAUAGUACCACUAAUCAGGAGGUCUAGGAGGAGUCAUAGUUCCACUAAUCAGGAGGUCUAGAAGGAGUCAUAGUUCCACUAAUCAGGAGGUCUAGAAGGAGUCAUAGUUCCACUAAUCAGGAGGUCUAGGAGGAGUCAUAGUUCCACUAAUCAGGAGGUCUAGAAGGAGUCAUAGUUCCACUAAUCAGGAGGUCUAGGAGGAGUCAUAGUUCCACUAAUCAGGAGGUCUAGAAGGAGUCAUAGUUCCACUAAUCAGGAGGUCUAGGAGGAGUCAUAGUUCCACUAAUCAGGAGGUCUAGAAUGAGUCAUAGUUCCACUAAUCAGGAGGUCUAGAAGGAG